UACCAGCACCCCGAGUGGUCGGGACGUUUAUUGGGCCUAAAGCAUCCGUAGCCGGUUCUACAAGUCUUCCGUUAAAUCCAACUGCUUAGCAGGUGGGCUGCGGAAGAUACUAUAGAGCUAGGAGGCGGGAGAGGCAAGCGGUACUCGAUGGGUAGGGGUAAAAUCCGUUGAUCCAUUGAAGACCACCAGUGGCGAAGGCGGCUUGCCAGAACGCGCUCGACGGUGAGGGAUGAAAGCUGGGGGAGCAAACCGG
rnacentral:rRNA from 1 species